UGAUGUAAAAGGCUGGCUAGCGAUAA
rnacentral:piRNA from 1 species